rnacentral:rRNA from 1 species
UACAGAGGGGGCAAGCGUUGUUCGGAAUUACUGGGCGUAAAGGGCGCGUAGGCGGCCCGUUAAGUCGAACGUGAAAUCCCCAGGCUCAACCUGGGAACUGCGUCCGAUACUGGCGGGCUUGAAUCCGGGAGAGGGAUGCGGAAUUCCAGGUGUAGCGGUGAAAUGCGUAGAUAUUGGGAAGAACACCGGUGGCGAAAGCGCCUUGCUGGGUCUGCACUGACACUGAGGGACGAAAGCUAGGGGAGCGAAAGGG